rnacentral:tRNA from 1 species
CAAGAUUUAGUUUAUAAGUGAUCAGAACGCUUUGUUUACAUCAAAGAAGAAUUUAAUCUUGA